UCAUAUUGUACUACACCAACAGGUACUCAUCACUGACAUCAGUUAAAGAUUUUUGGCCAAAGGAAACAUCUAUUCCAAGCUGGCAGAUCUUCAUGGAAUCAGCAGAUCAUCUUUCGUUAAUUGACAUGCCUUCACAAGUUCAAUCAGCAAACAUAUGAUCGGUUUCCAGUCCGCGUACAACAACAAACUUGCAUGAAGGUUGGAUUCUGCCACAAGGCCCGGGAGCAGUGGAUGGGACUCUCAUACCCAUAAUACUGAAUAUGUUAUAUUACACACAUGCAGUUGAACACAGCAGGAACUCUUGAAGAAAAAAAUGUGUAUUUUUUUUAUUCGAACUUAAAUGUAAAAUAUAUAUUUAAUUUUAGCUCGACUAUACCUUGAAUGAUAAGCUGUGUAUAAAAUUAUGGUAAACAUGCAACAUCCUUAUAUCACUGUUUCUAUUACAUAUUUUCAUUAAAAGCACUUAUGUAUUCAGGGUCAUUAUGUCAUUGUGAGGUCACUGACCAAGUUGCUUAUCUCUGACCUGCAUUUAGCUUAAUAAUGCCCCUUUUGUACUUAAAAUGUUCCACUUAAAUUGUGUGUACAGCUACUCCAUAUCCCUAUAUUUUCCACAGAUAAUCCUUCACAUAUGUCCUCAGAAUUUUUUUAAAACAUAUAAAUAAUAUUUCUUUGGGUCAUUGUUAUAACCACUACAAAUAUUUACUGUUGUUGCGAAUAAAGUUGUUAAAACUGUUUAAA